AUAAUACCUGACGUGGGAGAUAUGAUCAUGAAAGUGGUGGUUUUUCCACAAGGAAAGCUCAUCCAUUGCACUCCAGACAUGCUAACCCUUUGUGAUUUCUCCAAAUGUGCAGAACUCAAUUACAUCAUUUGUGGAAGGAGGGGAACUGUGUGCCUCCUC